GUGCUAGCUUCGGCAGCACAUAGACUAAAAUUGGAACAAUAGAGAAAAGAUUAGCAUGGCCCCUGCACAAGGAUGACAUGCAAAUUCAUGAAGCGUUCCAUAUUU
ensembl:snRNA Gm22069 predicted gene, 22069